UGAUCUGAAAUCAGGUGGGAUUACCCGCUGAACUUAAGCAUAUCAAUAAGCGGAGGAAAAGAAAAUAACAAUGAUUUCCCUAGUAACGGCGAGUGAAGAGGAAAGAGCUCAAAGUUGGAACCUGUUUGGCUUAGCUAAACCGGAUUGUAAACUGUAGAAGUGUUUUCCAGACACGCCUGGUAAAAAAGUCCUUUGGAACAGGGCAUCAUAGAGGGUGAGAAUCCCGUCAUUGGCCAGAGCUGUUGUCUUUUGUGAUACAUUUUCAAAGAGUCAGGUUGUUUGGGAAUGCAGCCUAAAUUGGGUGGUAAAUCUCACCUAAAGCUAAAUAUUUGCGAGAGACCGAUAGCGAACAAGUACCGUGAGGGAAAGAUGAAAAGAACUUUGAAAAGAGAGUUAAACAGUAUGUGAAAUUGUUAAAAGGGAACCGUUUGGAGCCAGACUGGCUUAAUCGUAAUCACUCUAGGCUUUGGCCUGGAUGCACUUGCGGUUUAUGCCGGCCAACGACAGUUUUGUUUGAGGGAAAAAAUUACAUUGAAUGUGGCCCCUCGGGGUGUUAUAGCUUUGUAAAAAAUACCUUGGACGGGACUGAGGAACGCAGCGAAUGCCUUUAGGCGAGAUUGCUGGGUGCUUGCGCUGAUACAUGCUAGAAUUUCUGCUUCGGGUGGUGCUAGUGUGUAAAGGAGUAACCCGCCUAGUAUAUUUUUUAUUCGCUUAGGUUGUUGGCUUAAUGACUCUAAAUGACCCGUCUUGUAACACGGACCAAGGAGUCCACCAUUAGUGCGAGUAUUUGGGUGACAAACCCAUAUGCGCAAGGAAACUGAUUGAUAC
rnacentral:rRNA from 1 species